rnacentral:rRNA from 1 species
AGCUGCGUCGAGAUCUUUCGCAUGGGCGAAGCCUGACGUGGCGACGCUGGGUGAGUGAUGAAGGCUUUCGGGUUGUAAAGCUCUUUCSCGGGGAGCAAAAUGGUUUAGUGAAUAMCUGCCACAUGUGAGGGUACUGGGAAAAGAAGCACCGGCUAACUC